rnacentral:lncRNA from 1 species
CCUGCAUUUUUUCUUAGCUGUAAUCUCUGUCCUGCCUUUUUAUUUUUCACUCUGUUCGGUCUGCCUUUUUUUUUUUAGUUUAUCCUGACUUUUUUUACCUAAAUUGUCGUCCUGACUUUUUUUUUUGGCAAGUGUCUCAUCCUGCCUUUUUUUUUACUCAAAACUCCUGUCCUGCCUAUUUUUUCAAAUUUCAUCCUAGCCCCCCCAUAAAAAUCAAAUGGUAGCUCCCUAAAUCUAUUCAAGAAUGAAAACAGAAAAAAUCCAAACUGUUAAAGAUUUAAAUGGUUUAAUAACAUGAUGAAUUUAGAAACAAAAUAUAGGAAAAUCAUAAUACAAUAAAUACCAAGCACUAACAUGUGGCCCUAUUCACAUAUUUGAUGGUUACAAAAAUGGUAAACUACAACAUUUCAAUGUCAUAUUAAGCAAUGGUAACUUUCACAGUAUAUUAAUUGAUUUUAAUGAAAUAUCAUUGCCUUCAUCUUUGAAAUUAUUUGUUGGACAUACCAUACAUGAUUAACAAAAUACAUUGUAUAAAGAUAUUGCUGUGUUCAAUGUCAAAUCAAGCAAUGAUAACUUCCACAGCAUAUAAACUGGUUUUAAUGAAAUAUCAUUGUCUUAACCUUUGAAAUUAUUUGUCGGACAUACAAUACAUGAUUAUCAAAAUACAUCAUAAAAAGAAUAUUGCACAGCAACACAUGUACAUAUUUCAUAUUGAAAUGGAAGUCUGCAUCAUAUAAUGAAUCUCUAGAUGAUUGGGUCACUUUUUUAUGUCAAAUAUAUCGAUGGGGUAAUAUUAUAUCUAGGUAAUAAAUCAAUUAAUCAUUGAUUUUUCAUCUUCUCAAACCAUGGGGAAUCUGGGCGGGAAAAAUUUUCCUCCCACAUGGCAAAAUUUAAAUCAGUAGUGAAAGUGUUAAUUAAAUCAGAAGAGAAGUGUUAAUUAAAUCAGUAGAGAAGUGUUAAUUAAAUCAUUAGUGAAAGUGUAAAGUAAUAAUUACAUAAGAUGUAUGUUUCAUUAUAAUACUUUAUUCUGAUUGGCUAACUGCACAUCACAUGUUAUUCCGUAAGCAAUUGC